rnacentral:rRNA from 1 species
AGAGUUUGAUCCUGGCUCAGGACGAACGCUGGCGGCGUGCUUAACACAUGCAAGUCGAGCGAUGAAGCUUCCUUCGGGAAGUGGAUUAGCGGCGGACGGGUGAGUAACACGUGGGUAACCUGCCUCAAAGUGGGGGAUAGCCUUCCGAAAGGAAGAUUAAUACCGCAUAAUAUAAGAGAAUCGCAUGAUUUUUUUAUCAAAGAUUUAUUGCUUUGAGAUGGACCCGCGGCGCAUUAGCUAGUUGGUAAGGUAACGGCUUACCAAGGCAACGAUGCGUAGCCGACCUGAGAGGGUGAUCGGCCACAUUGGAACUGAGACACGGUCCAGACUCCUACGGGAGGCAGCAGUGGGGAAUAUUGCGCAAUGGGGGAAACCCUGACGCAGCAACGCCGCGUGGGUGAUGAAGGUCUUCGGAUUGUAAAGCCCUGUUUUCUAGGACGAUAAUGACGGUACUAGAGGAGGAAGCCACGGCUAACUACGUGCCAGCAGCCGCGGUAAUACGUAGGUGGCGAGCGUUGUCCGGAUUUACUGGGCGUAAAGGGUGCGUAGGCGGAUGUUUAAGUGGGAUGUGAAAUCCCCGGGCUUAACCUGGGGGCUGCAUUCCAAACUGGAUAUCUAGAGUGCAGGAGAGGAAAGCGGAAUUCCUAGUGUAGCGGUGAAAUGCGUAGAGAUUAGGAAGAACACCAGUGGCGAAGGCGGCUUUCUGGACUGUAACUGACGCUGAGGCACGAAAGCGUGGGUAGCAAACAGGAUUAGAUACCCUGGUAGUCCACGCCGUAAACGAUGGAUACUAGGUGUAGGGGGUAUCAACUCCCCCUGUGCCGCAGUUAACACAAUAAGUAUCCCGCCUGGGGAGUACGGUCGCAAGAUUAAAACUCAAAGGAAUUGACGGGGGCCCGCACAAGCAGCGGAGCAUGUGGUU